UACGUAGGGUGCGAGCGUUGUCCGGAAUUAUUGGGCGUAAAGAGCUCGUAGGUGGCGGGUCACGUCGGGUGUGAAAGCCCGGGGCUUAACUCCGGGUCUGCAUUCGAUACGGGUCUGCUGGGGUCCGGCAGGGGAGACUGGAAUUCCUGGUGUAGCGGUGAAAUGCGCAGAUAUCAGGAGGAACACCGAGUGGCGAAGGCGGGCCAACUGG
rnacentral:rRNA from 1 species